rnacentral:piRNA from 1 species
UUCUGUGCUGGAAAGCUUUCCUGGCUUCUA